CCCUAGAGGAGCCUGUUCCAUAAUCGAUAAACCCCGAUCCACCUCACCCUCCCUUGCUUAGCCUAUAUACCGCCAUCUUCAGCAAACCCUGAUAAAGGUUACAAAGUGAGCACAAACGCCCUACCGCCGCAAAAACGUUAGGUCAAGGUGUAGCCCAUGAGAGGGUAAAAAUGGGCUACAUUUUCUACAUCAGAAAACUCCACGAAAACUCUCAUGAAAUCUGAGGGUCCAAGGAGGAUUUAGCAGUAAAUUAAGAAUAGAGUGCUUAAUUGAACCAGGCCAUAAAGCGCGUACACACCGCCCGUCACUCCCCUCAAAUAUAUUUAAGGAACACCUUAACUAAAAGCCCUAAUAUUUAUAUAGAGGGGAUAAGUCGUAACAUGGUAAGUGUACUGGAAGGUGCACUUGGAC
rnacentral:rRNA from 1 species